rnacentral:rRNA from 1 species
UACGUAGGGGGCAAGCGUUGUCCGGAUUUAUUGGGCGUAAAGCGCGUGUAGGCGGCCACACAGGUCCGCUGUGAAAACUCGAGGCUCAACCUCGAGCUGUCGGUGGAAACCGUGUGGCUAGAGUCCGGAAGAGGAGACUGGAAUUCCCGGUGUAGCGGUGAAAUGCGCAGAUAUCAGGAGGAACACCGGUGGCGAAGGCGGGUCUCUGGGCCGAUACUGACGCUGAGGAGCGAAAGCGUGGGGAGCGAACAGG